CGGGGUGCACCAGGCGCGAAAACUCUACAAUGCAGGCAACUGCGAUAGGGGAACAUCGAGUGAUCCUCAUAUUGGGGGUCUGUCCACCCGUCUAAAAAACGGGUGUUAGCAAGGGCCGGGCAAGACCGGUGCCAGCCGCCGCGGUAAUACCGGCGGCUCGAGUGGUGGCCGAUAUUAUUGAGUCUAAAGGGUCCGUAGCCGGCUUUGCAAGUCUCUCGGGAAAUCCAGCGGCUUAACCGUUGGUCGUCCGGGGGGUACUACAUUGCUUGGGACUGGGAGAGGUAGGAGGUACUCAGGGGGUAGGAGUGAAAUCCUGUAAUCCUCUGGGGACCACCGGUGGCGAAGGCGUCCUACCAGAACAGGUCCGAUGGUGAGGGACGAAAGCUAGGGGCACGAACCGGAUUAGAUACCCGGGUAGUCCUAGCCGUAAACGAUGCUCGCUAGGUGUCACAACAGUCGUGAACUGUUGUGGUGCCGUAGGGAAGCCGUGAAGCGAGCCACUUGGGAAGUACGACCGCAAGGUUGAAACUUAAAGGAAUUGGCGGGGGAGCACAAGG
rnacentral:rRNA from 1 species